GUGGGAGUCCAGCAUGGGUUAUUUAAAAUCAGGACUUAUCAAGAUGGCUGCACUAUAAACAGAGGAAAAGGCCAGCCAGGACUUAAAUGGCUGCCCGUCUCAUCAAAGUUCACUUGUUGCAAAGCCAACAAGAAGACAAAAUAAAUAGCUGACACCCAAAGAACCAUCAGUAUAGCCAUUUAACUGACUCCCCCUGCUUGAAAACACAAUGAUGUCUUCAGGGUCUUGGAAAAGUCCAUUAGGGUCAGAGCCAGUCUGACCUGGGGGUGGGAGAUGAUGUUCCACCAGGCAGGCCUGCCAGAUGAUAUUCUUUAAUUGAUGGGACAUUUGUUAAAGUAAGGGAUGGUAUGCGACUUGAGAUUUGGGGAAAGCAGAUUGAUUAUCUGGAUGCUUACAGCGAAAUUGUAAGCAUGUAGAAUAACACAGAUUCUUCUCAAAUGUUUGAUUGCAGAAACGAAUGGACACUGGCUAUAGCGAGCAACAAAAAGCUGGAAACUACAGACAUGAAAAGCAAGUGGGGAUGGAUUCUGGAGAUUUUCCAGUUAGACAAAAAACUCAAGAAGCUGGAACGGCAGAACUAAUGCAAAGACAGCAAGUGCAAAUUGAUGAGAUUGGGCUUACCACUACUCUCCAGCACAUCGUGGGACAAUUGGAUGUCCUCACUCAGACUGUGUCCAUUCUAGAACAGAGAUUAACAUUAACAGAAGACAAGCUGAAGGAAUGUCUUGAGAAUCAACAAAAAAUUGCUCAGAGUAAAUCUACCUGAUUCUCCCCCAAAACUGAUGGAUACAUUUUGUGUGAAUGGUUUUACAUAUUUUAUUAGAAUAAACUGUAUAGCUAAUAAUGUUUGUAAAUACA
rnacentral:lncRNA from 1 species